ensembl:lncRNA
AUAACUCUAAUAAACACUCUGUUUUUGGUCCAAACUGACUGUUGAGGAAAAUAUGUGACUCGUUAUUCACUAAAUGCUUCACUUAGGAACCCAUCUAGUUACUGAUUGUUUGGCAAUUUAGUCCUGGCAGGUAAUUUUCAGUAGGUUUAUCAGAACCAUUCCCGAAAAAAGCCACCUGCUGCAGACGAAAGCAAUGCUCAUGAGUCGAUUGAGAGUGAAACAAACCAUUAAAGUAUAAGGCUGCAAAAACCUCACCAGGUACAAUUACAAGUAGGUGCAGGUCUUAGGAGUGCCGACUGAGGACAAACACAUUUCAGCUUUUGGUCUCUGGGCAAACUUAAGUCAGAAUAAAGACAGCUAAAUGUCAAAUCCCUCAAAAAGGGGGAAUAAUCCUGCUCUGGAUGAACGACUCCAGUCUUUCUCUGUACCUUCAGUCAAAAUCCCCUCAGAGGUCUUUUUUCGGGACUGGUAGAUUAUCAGAGUAUGCACCCCUUACACCUGGGGGAUUGCAAAAGAAAUCACAGGAAUUUCUCUAAGAGCUGGCCACCCAUGAGAAAAGCAUUAAGUUUCAUCUGUGCCAGAGCACUUCUGACUCUCAGAAAACAUCUGCAAAUAUGCUCCACCAGCUCAGUUUAGUGCAAUUUAAAGCUCUCUGGUAGAAGACCUAUUAUGCAUUUUCUUCCUUCCUCUUAGAAUCACGGCAAUUUAUAUUCAGGAUCACUGCAUUGCAUUGCAUUUGGAUGUUCCAUUGUUGUGGUUCGAACAAAUUGCCUGAGAAGUGAAAAAGGCCAGCGUCACCUUGUCCCACUUCAUCUUAACUUAUUUGUCAAGCUGUCCAUCAUCCUUUCACCAGGGGACUACUUGUUAAUGAUUGAUGCAGCACCUCUUAAUGUGAUGGAUGCAUCUCCUGCUGCAUGAUGGGACAGGGGGUGGGGGGUGAGUCACACACCCGUGCCCCCCUCCCCACCCACCACUCACUUACUCACUCACUCACCAGUGCUCUCCAUGUAGGGUGGACACACCCCCGGUGUCCAUGGAUGGAGGAACAAAGGCGUGUUCAAUUUAAGCCCCAUCAAUAAUGUACAGCUGAGGAGACCUUUUGCUAAAGGAGCCCUGUAAAAGCUGGGUCACUGUUGCGGUAUAGAAAUAGUAUUUCUCAUGGUUUAUUAUCUCUUUGCACUGAGUUGUGUAUGCCAUCAUCGUAUGUCACAUGGCGGCGUCAUUGUGAUGCCUGAGGCCUCUUGAGUUGUGUUGUUCUGUGGAUCUGCAGCCCUGCUGCUGGAGAAUAUGUCAAAGCAAGAUAAGAAGCAAGCCGUAGUUUUUGUUGCUUAUUUAUUGCCUAUGUCAGAAGUUUACACACAUACUGUCUAUAGAACUUUUUUUUUACUUUACAUCAGACAGAAGCAGAACUAUGUAUUCAUUUUGACAUCUUCCGUGUUGCUUUAUACAUAUUAAUAUAAAAAUACAGUGUAUUGAGAGAAGAAAAUGCAGCAAUCAUUACACUGUUGACAUGAAAAUAAGAUAACAUAGAUGGCAGAACAAGAUUUUCACUUCAGGACAUCCAUUUAAGUAUCUCUAAAGCAAUUUUUGAUGGGUAUUUUAGAGGUCAUGCUCAUAGCUUGUGGUUAAACUCAUACAGGCUUACGGCUUUAGAAAUAAUCAAUAUCUACCCUAAAUGGAAGGAAAAACAGUGGCAAGGAUUUACUGGUUGCAGAUGAUGUUAUCUGUUUUCUACCAGUAAUAACACUUGCACAACCAUUUUGCACAAAAGGAAGAGAACAGAAAGCUGCUGUGAUGUCAAUGGGAUGCGAUGGAUGCAGGAUGAAACGUUUUUGUUACCAGACAGAAAUAGUUUAAAGGUGUAUGAUCUGAGAUUGGGGGCAUUUGGAAUGCCUCUCAACAGCCCUCAACAUGGCGUGCUGCUCACAGCUAAAAGAGCUAACGGCACUCACAGAGCAACCAGAGCAAAGGGUGUUAGGGGCUAAGGGGGGACCGAAGGCGGGGGGACCGGAGGGGGCUGCUAUGAUGCUGCCAGUCAGGACGUCGUGACCACCUGUGAUCGCCUUAUGAAAGCAGUAGUGAGCAAUGUCCAUCAGCUGACAGCGGGACACGUCCACAUGCAUUGAAUGGAUGCACAGAUGGACUGUGUAAAUAAAGCAGGGCGAAGCCGGGACAACAUCAAACACUCCUAAUUAGCACGGAGCACUAACUGCAGCUGAGGCUGGGCUUUUGCAGGUAUUUAGUCUUAAACCAAAAUGAUUAUGAUCCAUUCUCUGAGCACUAUGGACACAGAACCAAUGCCAAAUUUCAUUGCAAUCCUUCCAAUAGUUGUUGAGAUUUCAGUCUGGACCCAAGUGGUGAGUCAACUAACUGACUUUGUUUAUCUUUAUUGUGGCUAAAAAUGGGGAACAGCAUUACGUGACAUCUGUCAGAACCACCUGGCAUUUGUGACAAUCAUAUACUUUUGACUCCUACAAUGACGAGCUCACAUUUGUCUGUACUGAGCGGUGACAUUCAAUUUUGAAAUCUCAUGAAGAAAGUGAGGGAGAGUGUCAACAAUGCACAAAAGAUAGCUGCAUUUUCAGCGUAGUGGUUGAAGGUCUUUGAGUUAAGUGGUCGUAAAGAGUAAAGCUGUAGGGGUUACCAUUUCCAGUAAGAGAAAAAGUGGACCCUGUCUAGGAGAAUGAUGUGAUCAAGGAGUGUAAAAUGAUCAAAACGGAUGUGUUUCUUCCGUCGGCUUAUAAAAGACAAGCAUUUAAAACUUCCAUACCAGUGAGUUUGAAAAGCCAGACUGAAACCUCUGAAAAAAGAUUGUUUUUAUUCCUGAAUGCAAUCAGCUGAUUAGCAAUCUCUCCUCUUUUUUUUUCUUCAAGGAGCAUAAUUGCAGUUGACCCUCUGGCUCACUUCAUACUGGUCGCACAUUUGAGCAGACUCACGGCUGCCCAACAUAUAAUUCCUUUGUCGCUAUGAAAAUCCACCAAAUAGUUUUACUCUAAUGCUUUUACUAGUGUGAGCUACGGGCAAACAGUGGUCGCUCGUGUUCCACGAAGGGAUCCAUACACCCCUUUUAACCUUUCUUAACCCAACACAAACGCGGUGCACCGAGGGCAAGGGGCCAUGCACAAACAACAGUCUCCCCUCGCACAAGACAAAUGCCCGUCGACAUCCCCGGCUGAGAUGGCCAGCUUUGCCCCCCCCCCCCCCCCCAAUCCAUCUGUGGCCACAGGGGAGCAUGUGGGGAUCAUGCUUCAUAAUUCAUAGAAGGAGGGAGCCAUACGUUCUGAGAGAGACCACCUCAGGCAGGACCUUUUCACUAUGCAUUGGAUGUCUGAAAGCCAAUGCGCAGAAAGCCAAAGAUGGAUGCUCUGUGGUGUUUUUAGGAGCUGUGGGUUAUUAGCUUCAUCAGAUCUGCGCACAGUCACACUGUCGUGCAGGAUGUGUGGUAAGGGCACAAACUCUUAGGCCUGCAUACGUCAGUGAUUAAACCGGACGGGCCAGAGAACUGCCUGGAUGUAAAGACGUCAGAAAACAGAACUGCACUAAAGGUUUUGACGAAUCCCAUUAGGGAAGUCAGACUCCCACGUUACACAUCGCGUAGAGCAGCAUUCUCAGCAGUUAAGAGAGAUGAGAAAUUCUUUGGAGGCUGAUUCCAUGAUUAAAUUACACUAUAUUUUCACCUAAAACAAGCCUAAGAUUAUUGUUGUCCAUGUUUUCUCUAAUAUCCCCUGUUGUUCUUGUGCUGCGGAGGUUUAGUUGAAGACAAAUAUCUGCUGCAGUGAACUAUAUAAUUGUAAUGUUUUGCAGUGAUAUUUUUGUCUUCCUCGUUAUAGUUUUGGUGGCAUAAGAGCAAAGCCUGUGAGAUCGAGAGCACUGAAACCAGCACUGAAAUCAUCAAAAUAUAGCUUUGGGUCUCAAACUUGGCAGCUGGUACAGGUCUUAAAGCUGCUCUUAUCAAUAAUCCUGAGUUAACAAUGGAUCAAAGGAUUUUCUAUAAUAUGAAAGGGUGUCCCUCAAAAUGAAGAAUUAACACAGAAAUGCCCCCAAACCUCACAGUUACUUCAUCAGUAACUGUGAGUUAGUUAGUUAGUUGGUUAGUUAGUUAGUUAGUUAGUUAGUUAGUAUGUAUAGACGUUUUUGGUGUUUUUAGCUAAUGCCCAAGUGCAUUUAGCAACUAUGGAACUAAAAAUGUUUUCAAGAGUUGGUGGAGAUCAGAAACAGAGCCACAACAACAAGCCACCUUCAGCUCCCACAUCCUUUAUAUAAAUCUAAAGGGUGAUAUUGUUCCAAUUAAUGUGAUGAUAUUACAACUAUAACUAGUUCCACUUUGUGCAAGUGAUUACAAAUCUAUUAUUGAGGUUUUUCUUAGUGUCAGUUCUGUGCAGCAGGAUCAACCUGACUACAAAAAGAACGAGUUGAACUGCUUCACAGCCGUCUCAUGGCAGCGCCGUGUUUCAGCCUGUCGAGGAGAAUCACGUGAUCAGUGGUGUCGAAAGGUGUAAAGCGAUGAAAGCUGAUGUUUUUCUUCCGCCGGCACAAAAGAGACGACCAUUUAGAACUUCCUCAAGCCGUGAGUUUGAACGCUGGACUGAAACUUAAAAAAUAUACAUUGUUUUUAUUACUUAUUACUAGCAAUUUGUCUUUUUAAGGAUAAUGAUUUAAUUAAACAAUAGGUGUCAGUAUCACAACCUCUGUGAUUGUAUAACAACUAAAGCCCUUGAGCAAGGCAUUGGCCGCGCAUUAUGGUGCUCGCUGUAUUGACUUCCACAUGUGCAAAUUGAAAAACAAAUGUUGUAGCACGACCAAUGAAACAUCAUAUUAUUACUUUACUGCUCUAAAUAAUUAAUGGAAGUAUGAAGCUGUUUGUAUCCGGUUGACAAGUUUUCAAUUGAUUGAUUGAUUGAUGUGGUCUGAUUAUUGUGCCAGAUGGGACAGGACAGACAAAAAUAAGUUCUUAAUGUCUUGUGUCUAUCCCGCGAACAAUGAGCAGCGGACAUUAUAGCUAAUAUAAUAUUUCCAUUAUCGUCGGGCGAUUGAUAAAGUAGGAAUGUUUGCUUGUCUGGCGAUGACACGCUCCAUAAUUCUCUCACAUAUUAAAAGCAUUUGAUUUCACCUUUGGUCGAGCACAAUGAUGAACUGCAUAUGAUGCUCCUCAUUUGUCUCUUCUGUCUUCAUCAGCAUUUCUUUUAAAUAUACCCCCCCCCCUACCCCUUUUCUCUCUUAUGGAGUUGAAAGAGGGAUUUCUCACUUUAAGGUGCAAACAUUCAAUUACUUUUUAAAAAAUGUUCCUUGUUCUGCAUGCAGCAUUUUUCUCCAACUGUCCCUUUCUGUUUAUUUUAAGUCAUUUUAUCUUUUAUAUAUUUAUAUGAAUACUAAUUCUGAUCAUUGUGGGGUGUUUUUUCUAGCUGACUAGACCAUGUAUAUUACUCCCACCCCUCCCAAAGUCCCCUUUCUAACACCGUAUACAUGCAGAUCGAAAUUGUACACACAUUUAUUUGCAAGGAAAUCCAACCGCCGGUGUUUGUUCCCUUUUCAUCUUUCUUACAUGUACAUGUCUGCUCCUGUGCGCGUAAAUAGGAUUUUUGCAAGCCAAAACACUGAGUGAGUAGAAGGCAAUCUCUUUCUCUUUCAAGUCAUUGUUCACUUUACCGAGGGGAAUGAUGACAUGUUACAUUGUGUGUUUGAACGAAUUUGUGUGAAGCCGAUUAUUUGUAAAGAUGUACUUUUUGUGGAUACAUUGAUUUUGAACGGCACCAGCACAUCAACAUGGAAAAAAUAAAUAGCUUUUCAGAUUGUAGUUUGCUGUCUUUUUUUGUUUUAGAGCUCCAUUAAACCUCCAUAAUGUGACUAAGUGCCGCUGCUUUGCCAAAAGACUUUACCGUGAUGAAUGUACCUUCAGUGCUCCAUAACACUUUACGUGAAUACAGUAUUACAAACAGCACUCGCUGAUGCAUUGGUUACAGCAUCGCCAUAUGAAACCAUGUCUACAGUCUAAUGAACCACACGGAUAUCUUGCUGGAAUUUCCAAUCUCUUGCUGCCAUUAACGUGUUUCAUUCAUAAAUAAUCACUUCCUCUUUUUACUGCGGCUUGUAAUGCAUGUUUGCAAGCAGCACUUAUUAUAAAAUCAAUAUAAUGUCAAGACGCCGGUAAUCUAACCUACUAGAAGAGAAGACAAAACACUCAUGCUCAGCACUCCAGGAAGUAAUAAAUUACAAAAGUAAAUAUUGCCAUACAAUAAAGUGGUUGAAAAUGACAUAACGAAAUGACGGGUCUAUGCGAAAUAAAACCUUUUCCUGUAUGUUUGCAAAACAGCCAUGACUCAUUAAAUCCUUGGUGUCAUUUUUGUAUUCAGCCCAUGCUCAGUCUGCUGUAAACUUAAAUAAGCUCUCUUUAGCCUUUUUUUUAGGUCUUUUAUAGAUGUAACUGGAGGCAAAAUGAUUAUGUAUGUUUCGCCACCUCCUGUUCUUUACCCUCUUAAAAAUGCUGAAAUAACGCAGGGUCCCUGUGGGAGUUUGUGAGGAAGGAACCCAAAACACAACGGCUUCGGUGCACAGAGAGCUGCUCCCAUGACGCAUUUGUACUGGAGAAGGGGAUUUAUCCUGUUUCUGGGGAGGCAAGAUCUGAGAUCUCAGCAUCUGCUCUCCAGCUUGGCACUGUGAGUGCUGGAGGCAAGGCACAUCACCACCGUUUGAUUAAAGAUUUAUACCCUUUCAGACGUGGUUUCUCUCAUUUUCAGCAAACCAUAUCUCCUGCAUUUUGCUAAGAGCUGUUUAAAGUCAGGGAGUGUCUCUCUCCUUUGUUGUUUUUCUACUUUUUUUUUCAUCAUCUAGAAUGUCAAACAAAACAGCUAUGGAUUUUCAAUAAAUGUAUUCACUUCUGCUAAGUUGAAUAUGCAGUAAAACGGAUGCAAUGGGUGGGAAAAUCACAUAUUUUGAAAAUAAUUUAAAAUUCCAUUGAUUUUGAGGUUUGGAUCUCCACUUAAAGCAUGAUUUGGCCCGAAGUUGAACUCUAUUCACUCUCUAGUGUAAACACAUGUUUAAAAGCCCCCAUUCAGCACAUUUGCAUUUGAAUUGGAAAUGGCUCAGACCUGUCUGUAAGUCCCAGUGCACUAAUGUUGGACAAUCAAAUGGUUUCAACAGACAGACCUUUAAUCAAGCGAUAUUCAUGUGAAACACAUCCUGAACCACAAUAUUAUAUUCGGAGAAUUGGCAGUGCAUGUAGAUGCAUUUGAGAAAGCUAAAAAAAAUCACCUGUAAGAAGCAGCCGCCCAAACACUAAGAUUCCUUUGAGGACGCAACCUUGAUUUAUUUUGUUCUUGCUCUUCCUUGUUACCUCGGAUAGCCGACAUUUGCACGUCCAGCUGUGUCAGUAAAGCUGUGAUACGUCAUGAGGAGAGAACAUGGUAAACGUCAAUUUUUCCUUCAAAAUUUAAGGCAAAGGGCCUCCCCCCCUUAUUAAUGAAGGGUACAUAAUUACGCUUUAAAUGGCCUGCUGUGAAUUAUUUUUGAAAAAUGUUCAGAAAUGUUCAGAAAGAUCAUGCAGAAAUAAAUACAAAGAGGACCAACAGGCUCAGCCAUGUCCUUUUCAAAAUACGUCUUUUUCCCAGCACACGUGUGGACAUGUCAUAGCGUGAAAAGCCGACGGCUCUGUCACAUCUUCAUGUUCCACUAAGCCGGGACACUUUGACAGUCAGGACCAUGAAACUGAAGCAGCUAAAUGAAGUUUGGCCAUCAUUGAUUUUAUUACUUUUAUUACACUACUUCCUGGACUACUAACUGAUUCAAGUUUUGGUCGCAAUAUGGAAACCACUUUGAACUCCCUAUCUACAUUCAUGUUCCCCAGUCCCCCUUUUUUUGUCCAGACUGAAUAAUCUCAACAACCAUCUGCUGGAUUUCCUUGAAAUUUGGAUCCAGUUUUUUUUCAACUUUGCUAACAAGACACAUGGUUGUUUAUUGUCAGAUAAUCAAACUUUGAAGCUGAGGUUGCUUCAAUAUUGUUUUCCUUCUCUGAUCUUUUGGCCGUUUCGUUGGGUGGAAGAGUGAAUCAUUCUUAAAUCCACUUCUGCACCUUUCCCAUGCAGAAUUUUUACUGGUUGCCAUGGUCACAAGAUGAACCAAAGAGGGGAAGGUUGAAAAGGUUGAACCAUCACAAACUGAAACAUGGCUUAUAUUUGUGUGGUAAACCAGUAGCAAUAUUAGUGUGAUCUAUAACUAUAAAGUACAUUCUCAGUAAUUAUCAAAAAUACAAUAUAUAUAUAUAUAUGAUCUGUGUUGUUUAAUCCUUUUUAUUUUUUUACUUCUAUAUAAUUUGUCAUGACAACAUGUUUGCAGUGUGCACAGCAUCGCCACACCGUCAUUUAAGGGCUGUAAUCUAGUGUCACUGUGCACUGCAGCCACAAGCAUGUGUUACUUUAAUUUUCUCUACACUGGAAAAAAAAUAGUUGGCUCUAUUGUUAUCGCUCCAAAACCGGGCAAAUUCUGUCAGAAAAGUUAAAAGUAUUUCUGGAAAACAUUAACCAAUUAAGAGCAAAUAUUAAGGGCCAAUAUAAAUGGUGAUUUAAUUACCUUCUAUAAACCAUUAAAUAUUUCAUACUGAUGACGCAUCAGAGGAGUCAUUUUGCUUUACAGGCUACUGGUUCAUGUCCACCUGAGGGUGUCAGUCUGUCUGUGCCCUGGAGCCUUGGACAACACUGUGACUUUUAAUUGGUCUCUCGCCGACAGAGAAUCAAAAUGCAAAUCCUGCUAUCAGCUGUUUAAUUAUUCCUGGUUAGCGGGAGUAAAAGCUUUAGGAAGUUUUCAGUCGUAAGAUAAAAAUGAGCAAGUACGGGAUGAAUAUGUCAUUGCAAACAUUUCCUUAUUAGAUGUCAAAUUGUUUUCCAGGGACGUCAGGCUGACCGAUUAAGCUCUUCAAUUCAUUUUCUUACUUUUUAUUUGUCCGGCAGUAUUGCCUCAGUGACAAACAAGAACACAAUCUUGCUCAUCUCAGCGAAAAAGGAAUGUCAGGUAAAAUAUUAAAUCUGGUGGACAAAGUUAGCCUGAGGCUGGGUUUGUUUCUUUUUAAUAAUGUGCUCCUCCAGUUGGUGGAAAGUGAGAGGUGAACGUGGAAACGGUGGACGGUGGACACUUGAUGGACUUGCUUACAAGCACAUCAUUGUUGCGCCCGCGCAUUUGGAAAUAGGAGGUUCUCCUUUUCUGAAUUAUAGAGCGUACCGGCUGUCAGCGCUGGAGAGCCGACCUCUGACCUCCUUUAAGAGGAAUGUGGCAGUGUCGGCAAGAGGCCGCCCUGACGAGAGGGGAGAGAGUGCCAGGAGGCCACGCUGGGCCUCACUUGUUAAACCGGUCCUGGAAGCCGAGAUUCCCCAGGGAACCGUUUACUGGAGAUAAUAUAUGAUGACAUUAAAGGAAAUUGCUUCUUGCUACAACCUGUCUCAUUUUUGUAGUUUUGGUAAUGAUUUCUUCAACAAUAAUGGAGGAAGAUUGUCUUUACAAAGCGCUACUCCAGUGAACACCAAUGCAAAAGAGGCUGAGUUAACAUCAUUUUUAAUCCCAAAGAGGGCUUAAGUCCAAAACCACUUAAUGUUACUUGGUGGCAUCUUUCUUCUCAGUGCUCUCUUGAAUACCACAGAAAACAUUGUCGCUUAUAGUUGAUUUCACGUGCUCUGUACUCCCCAUGAGAAAUAAACCAAUCUUACGGUUUACAAUUCCCGAAAUGUCCUUUUAAAGAUACGAUAAGACUGGGAAUGGGUGGACAUUUUGUCUAAUAAUCUUGGGGGGAUGUUUCAAGGACUUAGGCAGAUGGUUAGACAGUGAAAUAUUUCUUAACCAACAUCAAUGAUGACAACAACACUGAAAGCAUGACUCACGUCAUAAAAAAUGAUGCCUUUACGAAUCCGCUCAUUUUGAGCAUUAAACCUCAAAGCAGAUGGAUCAAAGUAAUUUAUCCAAGUCAUGUUAGACGUCCACACCUGUAGCAGGUGCCGUAUACACAAGAAUUGUAUUUCCCAGAAAUAUACAUUUUCACGGUUUCCACUGCAUCAACUAAAAAUGACAAAUACAGAGCAGGGUUUGAUGUUCUGUUUAAUAGCAGAUAUUAGAAACUAUCGAGAGCAGAGGCACUGGUAGGUGUUCUCAGGAAUCCAAACAGGCCAUUAUGCCGCCCCCGUAUCACAGCAGAUUAAUGGUCUGUUGUCCUUGUGGCAGUUGCCAAGGCUGCCGGAGGAUGAAUGAAACGUGUCGUGCGCCUGUAGAAAAUGGACACCGGGAUGCUGAAAUGAGGGCUUAAAGAGGACGUCUAAUUAGAGUCAGAGAUGGGCAGUCCUGGCCAUUAUCAAUCCAUUCAGACCCCCGAUGUGAAAACAGGGUUGAGGGUGGUCAUUAAUUGUGUAACUCUCCAGCCCUGUCUCCCAUAUGUACUGUAGCAAUGAGCAAUAGGUGUGAGCAUGAGAUGAACCACUUCAGCGUGAAAAGGAAAUACUAAUACAUUUUGUUUUUUUGUUACCAUACACUUGUGGUAGCUUAUAGCUUGCGUUACCAUUUUGCACAGUGUUGUGUUUGGAAUAUUUGAUGUGAUUCAUUUCUAAGUAAAAUAAGUGGGUUGUUAUUUUUCCUUUGUGCACGCACAUAGUGUAUACUUGAAGACGAUAGAGGACGAUCUCGGGUAUCAUGCACAGCCUUUUAUUAUCAAAGAGUACUAUAAUACUAUGUCAUAUUUUCUAGAACCAAGCAACCAGUCAACUUCUUAUUUACACCAGCAAAUGCAUGUCCAGUGUAUACAUGAAUAGUCAAGGCACAGUAGUUUUAAUGGGCGUGCUGGUAGAUGUGAAUCAUUUACAAAACGAUGAUGGCGGGCUGCGGUGUUUCAAAUCCCCGGUAGACUGGGCGUUCGACAGAUUUGCACACAAAAACCGAAUGUGCUUAUUAUUGGACGAUUUGAAAUUGUUCCUUGUUUUUUUCUUUAAUAACAAAUGCUCAGCAUAGGGGUGAAACUAAUGAUUAGCUAUCACCUCUUUGAAGCAGUUUUUACAGUUUAGUGUUAAAUCAAAAAUUCUCCAGAGGCAGCAAGCUGCUCACAGUGAUGGAUUAAUGGUCUUGAGCAAGUUUCAAAUCUCGCCAUCUAAUUUGAAUAGCCCACUGAAAUGAAUGGAAAAAUAAUGGCUGGUUAGAUACUAAAUCGAUCUGCGUCGCAUGGUUUGUUCUGGAAAAUAGCCAGUCAGGAAAGUAUACAUGAUUUGUGGCUAAUGGGACGGAGGAUACAAAACAGCCAUUAUGAUCCUUUGAGGAGAGUCUCUUUCGGCAGCAGUAAAAUUAUCCCCGAUGUUCAAUAGUUUUUGCAGUGUGCUUGCUUGGAGGCGUGGCGGGUUCACAGAAGGUGUGAGCCACCCAUCAUCCAUGAGAGAAACCCGUCCUCGCUGGAGAUGGCUAAUCUUGUUUUACGCUGCAAAUGCAUCUGCUCGCACUUAAUUGCAGCAGCCAGCCGCCUGUGAGUGGAUCAAAAUACAAAUUUGAUGGAUAGUUUGGCCUGUUGUAGACCUUUCAUAACAUUAGGGUUUAGCUGGUUAAAUUACUGACUAAUUAAUUAAAUUUCGGAAAAAUAAGUCAGGGACAAAGCCAAUGAAGGUUUGCACUUAACAGCUGUAAUUUGCACCUCAAAAGCAGAGCUUUUAGUGGAUAUCUCAAAAUUGUAUCCUUCAUUACGACAGCUUUAAAAAAUAGACGAACGGUGCACUUCUGAUUACUGAGGUUUGCGUCGGUUACUCAAACAGUGCAGAAACUUUCUCUGCACUGUUUGAUAAGCUGCACUGAUUCAGGCUGACAGCUGCCCGACAAGCUAUUAGCUACUCAGGGGUCCUUAAAUGUUUUCCAUUUCAGUCAUGGAAGACUUUUUUAGAAUGGCAAGUGCAGAACAGCCUGAAAUGUUUUUAACAGGUGUAAUGAUAGCUUUACACUGCAGAUAUGGUCGGUAACGGACCAUAUCUGCAUACCUGAGAGGUAAUUAGUUACUCUGGAAAGUACCCGAGAGCACCUCAUCCUACCUCGACCUGUUUUAUAUAAGAGGUGAUCGCAGAUUCAUUAAUACUUGGUCACUGUUUCUUUUUGGAAAUAAUUUCCAAUCAAUGAUUGCUCAUCAAAUAUUAUAUUAUACGCAGUCUAGUUUUUGUCAAGGAAUUAAUCUUAAUUGAAUUAGGUUUAGCACUAGCUAAAGGAACUGCUUAGAACUUACAGGCAUGCAUCACAGACUGUGUUUGAAAUAAACACCUUCUGUGUCUGGAAUGAUACCAUGGCAAUUGUUAUACUGUCUGAAAGGUUAUAUGAGGCUAGUCAGCCUCAGUGAUGAGAAGUUAUAAAAUUGCUGUCUUGCCAGAGCAGGUUUCGAUUUAAUGGCAGAGUGGGCUCACAUGAAAAGCAUAGAACAAAGGUAAAAGUUUGCUGCAAUGACUGAUUGUUUAGAGGGCGGCGUGGCGAAAACUAGCACGAGAGGGUAAGAGAAGGGACAACAAACCAUGCUGAAAAUGUUCACACGCAGAUGCUCAGCAGGUUCAUAUUGAGAUUUAAAAAUGCAUAAUUGAGCCAAAAAGUUAAUUAGAGGGUUUCGUGUCUAAUACGGUUAAUUAUUUCACAACAACAAGUUUUCAGUAAUUAUAUUAAUUUAACCUGAACAUACUCAUCACACAACUGCAAAUAAUUCACACAGAGAUCAGCCAGAAUUACCAAACAAGUCAGUUUUACCUGAGGCGCGUCACAGUUAUUUAAAUGUAAACAACAUGAACAACCGCCUAAAACAAAAAAGGGCGACACAGGGAAUGUAUGCCAGGGCAGGUUCGCAGAUACCUGUUGUCUUUUUUGCCCUCAGGCAGAUUUCGGGAUCAUUUGCAUUCUUUGAAAUAGUCCUAAAAUUUAAAAAAAUCCCAAACACUGCGCCAUCCUCGACUGCGAGCUACAACACCACCACUCUCCCCUACGCUACAAAACCACACAGCUGUCUCUCUCUCUCUGCAGCUGGCACUGCAUUGUCAUGGACACUGCAUGAGGCAAAGGCGAAACUGGUAAGAAGCAGAGCCGAUUGUUAUGUUAACAUCGGUUUGCUGGGAGGUGUGUUGUAAAUGUAGGUGGGGCUAAUUGCACUAAUGUUCUCGUAGGUCACCGCUUGUGAGCAUAAACACUAUGGCUUGUUAUCCGGAGGCCCGAGGGCGGUGGAGUGAUAAUGUCGGCCCGGCGUGGGCCAACAAACAGACCACUGCUUCUGCCCCAGACCGGUUUUUUAAACCUUCAGGGCAAAGAGGCUCCAAUCCCUCCACAUUCCAGAGUCAGGGGCUUUUCAGCCGUCUCUCUUCUGCAGCGCAACCGCCUGUGUUUAAACAGCCCUAAUCAGAUCUAUCUGUUGGACCUUUGAGGGUAGGGCUCGAUCCGCAUUGUUGCCGUGGACAAUGACUGACUUUACUGCCGCGGUGUGAGGUGACACCUGUGAGGUUCUUCUUUCACACUCCGCAAACAAGGUAUUAGGAAGUCAGUAAGUAUGCAAACUUUAUAUACGUUGCGCUUUUCCAAACAAGGGUUACGAAAGAGCCCUCCAAGCCGAGGCCAAAGAAAGGACAUCCAGAUUGGUCGGGGAGACAAGGUGGAAAGAUACAAAGAUCAACAAUAUAAAGGAGACCGUCUCAGCUAAAAGCUGAUAGGAUUACAGUGAAAUGCUGUUUUAAUUAGAGGCUCAGUAUAAACCCUUGUUGCGUUUAAUUUGUUGCCAUUCUCAUAGUUUGAAAUCCUCAGUUAAUGCAAAAUACCGCAAUUCAUCUCCCUCUGUAAAACGAUUGGUUGGUUGUUUACUUUAUGUUGCUGGCCUUUCAAAUGGACUAAUUUUACAACUGCAGAAUGUGGUGAUUAAUUUUUAAUUGUUUUUGCCAGGUAUUCGCCUCAGACACCUUGUAAACAUCUAGCAAUCAGAAAUGUCUGGGGAGAAAACCAACAGCACCUGACAGCAGAGUUUUCAGCAGAGUCACAGAAAUCAGGAAACUAAACCCUUGAGUUAAAGAAAGCUGCUAUGCCGCUGAGAACAAGCAACACACUUAAUCAGAGAGAAAAAACACAGGAUGGUUAAUGGAUGGAAUGGGUUUGUAUUUGUGUUUGACUGCCACCAACUGGGACCUGCACAAGGACUGUGAGCAGUGAUGCAUUCAGGAAUCUGACACCGUCUCAGAAUAAAAAGACAAGUCCUAUUCUUAGUCGGAGACGAGCAUGAAUUCAGAGAAGGUUGGAAAGCUACAGAUGUUUUUCCUUCGCUGCAAACUAGCUUCACUGGAGAUGAAGGCAGGCUAUAUUGGAGACCGCUUCAUAUUUAUUUUAUGCCGAACCGGAAUAAAUCAAGAACGAUUGCAAAGAUAAAAGCAUCAAUCUCGCUGUAAAGGUUGAGUUUUAAACGAAUAAAACAGAAACAGGCUUUUUAUCAUUCCUCCUUCGUUGUCCAUUUGAAGCAUCCACACCCCGCAAUGUUUUCUUGGAUGCUUCUCAGGAUUUACCGCCACACUGCUAGCUGCCGCUUAGGCGCCAUCCUCACCGCUGCUUCUUACCCCGGCCCCUUUUAGCUCUGUCUGGCUGAGGAUUUCACAUCUGGCACGCCAGCAAAGUCGGCGCAAACAACUGUGGUGUGUUGUAAAAGCUUUAAUAGGAAUGUGUGAGCUCGUUUUUGGAAAGGGAUGCAAUGUAACAAACGUUCAUUCAUAAGGAAAAAGUCUCACAAAACCAGCUUUAAGUUAAUUAACUUAGUAUGCAACGUGUACGUGGAGCUUCUUUGAUACUUGGCAAAAAUCAAGAUCCCACAAUAUUCUUCCAAGUGUGCUAAAAUUAGAUAAGUAAAAUAUGUAAAUGUCAGUUUAACCUCAGGCACGCAGUGACACGCAGAAACCUCUCAGGCUGUCUGGCGUCGUCCCUCAGGGACAUCUCAGGGGAAUAGUGGUGCCAUACUCUAAAACAUUUUCAUCUGUUUGUGAGAUCCAUGUUGGAAGUUCAAUCAAUUCACCAGGAUCAGAUGUGGUCACAGAUUAUUGAGUGCUUUCAAAGUCUACAUAUAUAUUUUUUUGUAAUAAGUCCUAAAUGGUUUAGGCCGUAGUUUGAGGAAUUUAUCUACGAUAUGUUAAAUACACUCAUUUUUCUAAAAGUGACAACUUAUUGACAAAUUAUAACAACUUCACAUUAAACUCAUAACUCAUAAAUAUAUAUAUAUAAAUAGUAUAAACUACAUUUCAAUAAAAUCCCAGCAGUCUUUACUCCCAGACCAUAGAUGGCACCACCUGAUUUUUUUUUUAAUAUAUCCCUUUUGUGACAUGUGGUGACAUGCCCUUUUCACUUUGAUGUAUCUAGAUUGCAUCUUAGUUCCAAGGUAUCCACCCUUCUACUUUAAAGAUAAACCAGCGACAGAAUGUCAACAUGCUUUCCCAUAUUAGCAUAAAAAAGAGAGAAGAAAUCACAAGCAAAUGACAAAUGAUUCCAAAAACUUUGCCUUUCUCCCUCUUUGCAAUCCCUCCCGCAGUGAGGAGUUCAACUUUUCCAAUUCAAAUAACAGAAUUGCCAUAACAUGACUUAUCUUUUGUUUAAGAGUUCAUUUCAUGGAACAUUUGGGUGCUGCACGUCAUUAUGAAGACGGCGCAGAGGAUCUAUUCCAGAAACGUUUGCUGCCAUGUUAAAGAGGGAUAAAAAGAAGCCGCCAUUUGUGUUUAUUCUGGGAUGUUGCUCAAAGCAUCAGCCUGCAGCAGGCGGCAAUUAAGUACUGCUGAUUCCACCGGCAAUGAGCUGCCGUUAACUGACAAACCAACAAAUACUUUCAGGCUUAGGUGAGAAAUAAACAAUAAUGACAGGUGACAGAUGCCUGAGUUGUUGCAGAAUGGUCUACAUCCUCAUGAAUAAUUUCCCUGCCUUUCACAUUGCCAGUAAAUCAUAGUUAUGCAUUCACAACCAGGUGAUCGGGGGGAAAAAAAAGACACAACUUGCAGUCUGCCCGACUUUGCCGAAUAUAUGACACAUGUAUCAACAGCGGCAUCCCAUGCAGCAUGCAGCCAGCGAACAUUUCACUUGUAAUACACCUGAAUUCUAUUUCCUCCCACAAAGCCCUCGCUGUAAUUAACUCUGCCUCACAGAUUUGAUCCACAGUCAGCCGAGGUGGUUUCCUUGCCCUUUGCAUUAAUUCAUCGAGUAAUCUAUGUCACUGGAUUUAAUGUUAUCAGUUAAUAUUUGGGCUUCCGGUUCAAUGGGAGAGUGCUGAUACACAGAAACCGGUUCAAUAAACACAACAAAUAUGAAUACUUUUUAUCAAGAUCAUCACUGUCAUCAUUUUGUAGUCUUUGAAGUCUUGCUGGUGUGCCUUGAUCUAAAUGUCAGGAUAGAGCAAAGGUCUCAUGUGAGUGUUUUGUUUACACUGUAAGUGUAUGUAAUUUCUUCUUCAGGAAAAUCAUCAUAUGAUUGUUAAAUAAAAACACAUAAGACAGCACAGUUUUUUUUACAUUUAUUAAAAAAUAUUUAUUUAUUUACACUCACUUUAUUUACAGGAAUUGCUUUCCUUCACCAAGCACAAUGGUUUCACAAGGAAUUUGUCUCGGUAAAUUUGCGCUGACAUGCUGCAACACGGUUCCACAAUACAGGAUUAACCGACGACAACCAGCAGAAAAAAAAAGGCGAAAAGACAGUCUGACAAUAAAUUGGAAACUGUACCAGUGUGGUAUCAGGUUCAAAGGCUAAAUAUGCACGUGCAACACAUCAUAGACCUAAUGCAGUGAUAUAGUGCAGUAAAUAAUUUGUAUGAUUUGAAGGAUCUUACACAAAUAUUUACGCCUGAAUGCGCUUAAACCCACUUUAAUUGUUGUAACAGCAUCUUUUUCUUUUUUUUUACUGCAGCGCUGUAUAAUAUUACCUCUCUCCAUUCAAACUGCUGCUUUUCUUCUACAUUAUUAAUAGAUUUGACAAUACGAUGUUUAAAGAACCGCGACAGACAGAGGAAGACUAUAGAAGCCAAUGCCAGCCACAAAUGGACUUAUAUUAUAUCAGAGGGACAAAACCCCAGCUUCAAAUGAGCUCCAAUGUUAUUUGCUCUACUUGAGGAAUAGGCAACCGUUAACCGCAUUGUUUGUCAAGGGAACAGUUCAAUGAUUCAGAAGUGGCCGUAGAAUAUCAGUUAAUGCAGCUUCAAAGGUCCUGCAUUACAACUGGAACGAUGUAGCCUCGCUGACCAUAGUUAGUGACGCACUGCAUCUCUCAUUAGCUCCCACUCAGUUUAACAAGGGUUUACGGGUUAGAAAUGUAUAAAACAUUCGCUGCAUGCUAAACACUGUUGACACGGUUGCCCUUUCAAACCACCAGAAACACAGCAACAGAAGACGUGCCUUUUGAUCUCCUCAUUUGUUCUACUGUUGCUAUCAACAGGCAAGUUUCUAUUGAUCGGCUUUAACACAUGUGAAGUACAGAUGGCAUGAGGCCCGAUCUCAUUUUCUUCAUGUAAAUCUGAGGAUCGUUUGGGGGGGAGUCAGGCUCUCUACGGCGCACAAGGAGAUCAAUAAAAGGCCGACUCCUCGCAGAAAGAGAGGUAACUCUGCAUCGACUACAGGCUGCUCACACACUCAAUCAGAUUAACUAAUGAAGCAAUUAUCGAUCCAAAUUGCGGCUGCUGGCUGGCGCAGGACUGGACCAUUAAGUGGAUCUUCCCCUCCCCUUGGCCGUGCUGAAAAUGUCAGGGUCACAGUGUUCGCUGCUUGACACAGUUUAUUGAAGCCCAAUCUGUAGGAGACUAAUCACUUGUCUUCCUCUCAGCAUAGCUGUUGUGAAGUAGCCCAACACCUGAGAGACAGGGGAGGAAUUUGAUUUUAACAACACCUGGAGGAGACCUGCCAUAUUUGCUGCUUCAACUGGGUGAAAGGGACUUAUUGGAAAAGAGGAUUGACCGCCGCAGGGUCGACAAUCAGCAGCAUCCUCUUCAGAAAACUCGCCAUUUCUGGUAAAAGCCGCUGUUGUUCCCGUCAUUCUGACAAAGCCGCAUUUAUUUAUUUUCAUACCUGAAACACAGCUUGAUAAUCAGUGCAGACCUGCAACAUGAAGCGGUUGGCGGGGGGCGGGAGAAAAAAAAACAUUUCCUGUCUGCCGCAUUCCCCGAAUGUCAAAAAACAUGUGCUUUCAUUGCCUGAGUCCACAGCAACGUGAGGUUGUUUGUUGGAGCAGUGUCACUAGACGUCUCGGGAGAUGUCAAAACAGAAGCGCUCAUUCUUUUAUCAAAUAAAUAAAGCAGGAGCCGCUACAGUUCCUCCAAUAUGACAUGAUGAAUUGUAAUUCAUUAGUCUGUGUGUAAUCUUCUUCUCCCGUCAUGGGGACUGACUGAAAGUGGCCUCCUGUGAAUACAAAGUGAACCUGAGCUCCAGCUGCAUUUAUCCCACUGAAGCCUGAGUGCGGCUUUUUCCACAGGUGUCGACGCUUUUUGUUGACGUGGAUUUUGAGGGGUUCUGUUUUGGUCGUUUGCCGUCUUUCAAUAUCUGCUGCAUUCCUUGACCAGCCUCACCCGAAAUAACAGUUAUGAUUACCAAGAAGUUAUGUAAUUUAACGACAGGCCCGGGCGUUCUGCCAUCAGUCGGUCUCUUUUCCCCACACGGGGAAAAAUGAAGUAAAGUAGUUCUCUCUUGCACCCGGCGCACUGAGGCAGGAUACAUAUUGCUUUGCGGUUAACUUGGAAUCAAAUUGCAUUAGAUUUUCACAGCCUGCGCCCUCACUCCAUUUGCACAAACCAUCACAGACAUGCAUGCAUUCCCCACCCAGAGAGAGGAAUACUUCCUUCUGCAAUAGAUUUCCUACCCCGGCCCAACACACAUUUUGUGAUCAUGCAGUUACAUCACAGGGGUGAUUCGUUUUAUUUGCAGCAGAGUGAGGUUUUAAUGACUAUUUUACGUGCUCUGAUGUUAUUUUUACCAACUUCUGAAAUGGACUCGGUGAGACUGUUACCGUUGUGACUGUUUUAGAGGAUUCUUUUAGAACAGGAAACAGCCCAUAUCUGUGGACUCGGCAGAACAGGUCAUGCAAGUAUACGCACAGACGGUUGUGAAAUUACACCGAGCCAUAAACCAACAGAGUCAGCGCCAAGGCACCCUAAUUAUUCCUAAUUAUUAUAAUUAAUUCUUAGCAUGACUAUUGUAUGGAUAUUAAUUAUUGUGACACUGCUCUUGAAUGUGCUUUGUGAAAUAAUUGAAAAAAUAUGGAGAUAUGAGCAAGAAUUUGAAUAAUGAAUUACAGCUAAAUUAUUUAGGUGGAAACGUCCUCAUUAUAAUUAACCUUGGACCUGCGUCCUAUAGCCUGCUUUACCAUGAACCCGAGAGGCACAAAGCUCUGUGUCAUCUCUUGCCGAAAGUGUGUGUGUGUGUGUGUGUGUGUGUGUGUGUGUUUGUGUGUGUGUGAGCAUGCGUCUUGCUUGUUGCUUGUAAGUGCAUGUCAGAGACAGCAGAGGUGGAAAAUUGCGGGUACAUUUACUCAGUUACAGCCAUUAAGUACAAUUUGGGUUUUCUCGGCAGACAUGUGCUUUUUCUUCAGGUGGAGUUCACUGCGUUUGUGUGACGGCUGCAGGUAUCACAAGUUACUUUGCCCGAUGCAGAUUUCUCCCUGUGAUAAGCUCAGAAAAUGUCACAGUCGUCAUGGUAAAAAUAGCGUAUGAAAAAAAAAUUAUAAAUCUAAAUGUCAACUUUUCAGGAAAAAAAAAAACGCCCUGUCAAUCUUGGCGAUGCACAGCCUUCUGACAUUGAACUGACAUUGAAUUGAGGAGGAAUGCAAUCACUCUGCUCAUCAGGGACAAUCUGUGACUUUGUGGAGAAUUGAUUACGGGCCUAUAAACAGAAAUCAAACAGCUUCUCAAAUAUGAGGGUUUGCUGUUUUUCUGACGUUUAAUAGACCAAGCGACCUCCUUUUUGAUUCAUUGGGACAGAUUGUCGUGUUGCGGCUAGAUACGCGUCAAUGCUAAUACUUACAACUAAGUACUAUAAUAACAACAAAUGAUAUGCCAGAGAAGAAGAGCAGUAAUAACAUGAACAAUAAUGAUGAAUUGUAUUUGCGAAGCACUUUUAGCCGCUGAGCUCUGAGUAUUACUGUGUACUACUGUGUACUUUGAUCUCAGUUUAGUUUAAAAUGCAGGUGGAGGAUUAAGGCCCUCAUUGUGCCUCUGGGUGUUCUGCUUGAGACAAGUCCGAGCUGCUGCUUUAUUGAACGUUUCUCCCCGCGCGCGCGCGUGCGUGUGUCUUACUACAUGCGUGCUGGCCUGCAGAGUUCAGGGUGCACGUUGGGAAGAGGGGAGGGGGACGGUGGGAGGGGGAAGCAGAGUUGAAGAUGAGAGUAAAAAGGGGGCCAAGGGGAGGAGUGG